rnacentral:rRNA from 1 species
GGAACCUACCCCAAACUCAGGGAUAACCUUCUGAAAAGAAGGCUAAUACCGGAUAGCCUCGAAAGAGUAAAGCUUUUGCGGUUUGGGAGGGGCCUGCGGCCUAUCAGCUAGUUGGUAAGGUAAUGGCUUACCAAGGCGAUGACGGGUAGCUGAUGUGAGAGCAUGAUCAGCCUCGAUGGGACUGCGACACGGCCCAUACUCCUACGGGAGGCAGCAGUGAAGAAUCUUCCGCAAUGGACGAAAGUCUGACGGAGCAACACCGCGUGGAGGACGACGGCCUUCGGGUUGUAAACUCCUUUUCCGAGGGAACAAGUAUGAGGGUACCUCAGGAAUAAGGCGCUGCUAACUACGUGCCAGCAGCAGCGGUAAUACGUAGGCGCCAAGCGUUAUCCGGAAUUACUGGGCGUAAAGAGUCUGUAGGCGGCGGAUAAAGUCGAGUGUUAAAUUUUCAUGCUCAACGUGAAAAAUGUACUCGAAACUUAUUUGCUUAGAGUCUGAGAGAGGCUACUGGAAUUCCCAUUGAAGGAGUAAAAUCCGUAGAUAAUGGGAGGAACACCAAAAGCGAAGGCAGGUAGCUGGAUCAGGACUGACGCUGAGAGACGAAAGCGUGGGUAGCGAACAGGAUUAGAUACCCUGGUAGUCCACGCCGUAAACGAUGAGUGCUAGGCGUUGGAGAGUCAUUUCGACCCUUUCCAGUGUCUAAAGUUAACACGUUAAGCACUCCGCCUGGGGAGUACGAGCGCAAGCUUAAAACUCAAAGGAAUAGACGGGGGCCCGCACAAGCGGUGGAGCAUGUGGUUUAAUUCGACAAUAAGCGAGGAACCUCACCUGGGCUUGACAUCUCGAGAAUCCUCUGGAAACAGAGGAGUGCCCGCAAGGGAAUUUGAUGACAGGCGCUGCAUGGUUGUCGUCAGCUCGUGCCCUGAGGUGUUCGGUUAAGUCGGUAAACGAGCCGCAACCCUCAUCGUAUGUUGUAUUUUUCAUUCGAGACGGCCGCUUUUACACCGGAGGAAGGUGGGGAUGAUGUCAAAUCAGCAUGGCCUUUAUGUCCAGGGCGACACACGUGUUACAAUGGGGAGUAUCAAUGGGUAGCCA